rnacentral:lncRNA from 1 species
AGACUAAGAGUCAUUUCGAGUAUAUUUCUUAGAGUAAUGGUAAUGACCCCUGAAAGGUCUGUCCUAUGGGAACAUGUUCUGCAUCCCCACCCCAAGGUUCUCAUUGAGGGAGACCCUGCUUGUGCUAUUAUUUUUGUUUUCUUUCUCCAUAGUGGACAGAGUUCACAGACCGCACUUUGGCACGUUGUCCUCACUGCAGGAAAGUGUCAUCUAUUGGGCGCAGAUACCCACGUAAGAGAUGUAUCUGCUGCUUCUUGCUUGGCUUGCUUUUGGCAGUCACUGCCACUGGCCUUGCCUUUGGCACAUGGAAGCAUGCACGGCGAUAUGGAGGCAUCUAUGCAGCCUGGGCAUUUGUCAUCCUGUUGGCUGUGCUGUGUUUGGG